rnacentral:rRNA from 1 species
CCUACGGGUGGCAGCAGUGAGGAAUAUUGGUCAAUGGACGAGAGCCUGAACCAGCCAAGUAGCGUGAAGGAUGACUGCCCCAUGGGUCGUAAACUUCUUUUAUCUGGGAAUAAAACGUUCCACGUGUGGGAUUUUGUAUGUACCAUAUGAAUAAGCAUCGGCUAACUCCGUGCCAGCAGCCGCGGUAAUACGGAGGAUCCGAGCGUUAUCCGGAUUUAUUGGGUUUAAAGGGAGCGUAGGCGGAUUGUUAAGUCAGUUGUGAAAGUUUGCGGCUCAACCGUAAAAUUGCAGUUGAAACUGGCAGUCUUGAGUACAGUAGAGGUGGGCGGAAUUCGUGGUGUAGCGGUGAAAUGCUUAGAUAUCACGAAGAACUCCGAUUGCGAAGGCAGUUCACUGGACUGCAACUGACACUGAGGCUCGAAAGUGUGGGUAUCAAACAGGAUUAGAUACCCGGGUAGUC